rnacentral:misc_RNA from 1 species
AAGUCGUAACAAGGUCUCCGUAGGUGAACCUGCGGAGGGAUCAUCAGAGAUAUUAUUUGGGCUUGCCCGCAAACAAUGCACAUGUCAAAGAAGCGGGGGCUGGCUGGUUGGUUGAUUGACUUGGCGAACUUGACUUGGCUUGGCUGGCGCCCCCAGAAACACACACUGCCUGAUAUAACUGACUUGGUGGUCGCUGACUUGGUAAAACGAAACAACUUUCAACAACGGAUCUCUUGGCUCUCA